CACUUGUACAUCAACCACCGGCAAUUCUUCCCAUUUAUCUUCCUCCUCUAUUUUAACAAUACUUUUAAAAUGUCUGGAGACAAAAGCCCUUUUCUCAGGGUUCUUCCAUUCUCUGAAUAUAAAAUCUAGCAUUUUUUGUUGGACCGGCAGUGUUUUACCCUUGGAUUUAUCUACCGUUUCAUCAGAAAGGAUAACAUUAACCUCUUUAAUAAAU